rnacentral:rRNA from 1 species
UACGUAGGGGGCAAGCGUUGUCCGGAAUCAUUGGGCGUAAAGAGCGUGUAGGCGGCCUGGUAAGUCCGCUGUGAAAGUCCAGGGCUCAACCCUGGAAUGCCGGUGGAAACUGUCAGGCUCGAGUCCGGAAGAGGCGAGUGGAAUUCCCGGUGUAGAGGUGAAAUUCGUAGAUAUCGGGAGGAACACCAGUGGCGAAGGCGGAGACCUGGGCCGAUACUGACGCUGAGGUGCGAAAGCGUGGGGAGCAAACAGG